GAGCUGAAGGAGAAGAAGAGUCCUAAAACUAGGCAAAGGAAACUGAUAUACAUCAUUCUUAUUUAAAACUUUAUUACGGGAAUUUCAAACAUAUUUCAAACAAGAAGACCCUCACAGGAUGUGGUCACUUGAUUUUGGACUUCCCGGCCUCCACAACUGUUUCAUCUCCUGGCCUUGAACAGUCCUCCCACCUCAGCCUGCCAAGUAGCUGGGAUUACAGGCCUGAGCCACCAUACCUGGCAACAAGA